rnacentral:rRNA from 1 species
UGGGGAAUCUUGCGCAAUGGGCGACAGCCUGAAGCAGCCAUGCCGCGUGAAUGAUGAAGGUCUUAGGAUUGUAAAAUUCUUUCACCGGGACGAUAAUGACGUACCCGGAGAGCC